GCUGGCGUGGCUCAGCAGGUAGAGCGCGUCCUUGGUAAGGACGAGGUCCCGGGUUCGAAUCCCGGCGCCAGCU
rfam:Planctomycetes bacterium DG_20 WOR1_52_54_2718, whole genome shotgun sequence.